rnacentral:rRNA from 1 species
UACGGGGGGGGCAAGCGUUGUUCGGAAUUACUGGGCGUAAAGGCUCGUAGGUGGCCAACUAAGUCAGACGUGAAAUCCCUCAGCUUAACUGGGGAACUGCGUCUGAUACUGGAUGGCUUGAGUUUGGGAGAGGGAUGCGGAAUUCCAGGUGUAGCGGUGAAAUGCGUAGAUAUCUGGAGGAACACCGGUGGCGAAGGCGGCAUCCUGGACCAAUACUGACACUGAGGAGCGAAAGCCAGGGGAGCAAACGGG